GACGAACGCUGGCGGCGCGCUUAACACAUGCAAGUCGAACGGAAAGGCCUGCUUUCCCUUGUGGAUUGCGGGUACUCGAGUGGCGAACGGGUGAGUAACACGUGAGUUAUCUGCCCCCAACUUGGGUAUAAGCCUGGGAAACUGGGUCUAAUUCCCGAUAGGACUGCAGGGUGGUGCCUGUGGUGGAAAACGAUUUUCUAGUGGUUGGGGAUGAGCUCGCGGCCUAUCAGCUUGUUGGUGGGGUAAUGGCCUACCAAGGCGGCGACGGGUAGCCGGCCUGAGAGGGUGGACGGCCACAUUGGGACUGAGAGACGGCCCAGACUCCUACGGGAGGCAGCAGUGGGGAAUAUUGCACAAUGGGCGGAAGCCUGAUGCAGCGACGCCGCGUGGGGGAUGACGGCCUUCGGGUUGUAAACUCCUUUCGACCGCGAGGAAGCCACCUGGUUGGAAGGGUGGUGACGGUAGUGGUAGAAGAAGCACCGGCUAACUACGUG
rnacentral:rRNA from 1 species